rnacentral:RNase_P_RNA from 1 species
GGGAGAAGGCGGACAGCCAACGGUUUCCCCGUUUUUCGGGGUUCAAACUGAGGAAAGUCCCCCCUCCUUGAGAAGGUGGAUCCGUGCAAGCGGAUAGGGCGAGAGUCCUGGCUUCCCGAAGCCAAUUCGGGCUUGGCGAAAAUAUCGUCGAGAUGGAGCAGAAACGACACAGCCCUUUCCUUAUGGAAUGAUGGGGGUUGCCCCGGACGUCGGAAUGGGAUUUGGUGAAACGGCCAUCCCCACCGGAGCAAGUCCAAACGAACCGGGAUGAUAUCUCAAGACCGGUAGGUAGGACGCAUAGUCGAAUGCUGUCAGUCGGGCUUUCGGGUCCGAUCAACAGAAGGGGGCUUAUGUCCUUCACCC